rnacentral:rRNA from 2 species
CGGGAGGCAGCAGUAGGGAAUCUUCCACAAUGGACGAAAGUCUGAUGGAGCAACGCCGCGUGAGUGAUGAAGGUUUUCGGAUCGUAAAACUCUGUUGUUAAAGAAGAACAAGUGUUAGAGUAACUGUUAACACUUUGACGGUAUUUAACCAGAAAGCCACGGCUAACUACGUGCCAGCAGCCGCGGUAAUACGUAGGUGGCAAGCGUUGUCCGGAUUUAUUGGGCGUAAAGCGAGCGCAGGCGGUUUUGUAAGUCUGCUGUGAAAGCCCUCAGCUCAACUGAGGAAGUGCAGUGGAAACUACAAAACUUGAGUACAGAAGAGGAAAGUGGAACUCCAUGUGUAGCGGUGAAAUGCGUAGAUAUAUGGAAGAACACCAGUGGCGAAAGGCGGCUUUCUGGUCUGUUACUGACNCUGAGGCUCGAAAAGCAUGGGUAGCGAACAAGGAUUAGAUACCCUGGUAGUCCAUGCCCGUAAACGAUGAAUACUAGGUGUUGGAGGGUUUCCGCCCUUCAGUGCCGCAGCUAACGCAUUAAGUAUUCCGCCUGGGGAGUACGACCGCAAGGUUGAAACUCAAAGGAAUUGACGGGGGCCCGCACAAGUGGUGGAGCAUGUGGUUUAAUUCGAUGCUACGCGAAGAACCUUACCAGCUCUUGACAUCUUCUGCCAACCCAAGAGAUUGGGCGUUCCCUUCGGGGACAGAAUGACAGGUGGUGCAUGGUUGUCGUCAGCUCGUGUCGUGAGAUGUUGGGUUAAGUCCCGCAACGAGCGCAACCCUUAUUAUUAGUUGCCAGCAUUUAGUUGGGCACUCUAGUGAGACUGCCGGUGAUAAACCGGAGGAAGGUGGGGACGACGUCAAAUCAUCAUGCCCCUUAUGAGCUGGGCUACACACGUGCUACAAUGGAUGGUACAACGAGUCGCGAAACCGCGAGGUCAAGCUAAUCUCUUAAAGCCAUUCUCAGUUCGGAUUGCAGGCUGCAACUCGCCUGCAUGAAGUUGGAAUCACUAGUAAUCGUGGAUCAGCAUGCCACGGUGAAUACGUUCCCGGGCCUUGUACACAC